rnacentral:tRNA from 1 species
GCCUGGGUGGCUCAGUGGGUUGAGCGUCCGACUUCGGCUCAGGUCAUGAUCUCACAGUUUGUGGGUUCGAGCCCCACCUCUGGCU